rnacentral:rRNA from 1 species
UACGUAGGGUGCGAGCGUUGUCCGGAAUUACUGGGCGUAAAGAGCUCGUAGGUGGUUUGUCGCGUUGUCCGUGAAAACUCACAACUCAAUUGUGGGCGUGCGGGCGAUACGGGCAGACUGGAGUACUGCAGGGGAGACUGGAAUUCCUGGUGUAGCGGUGGAAUGCGCAGAUAUCAGGAGGAACACCGAUGGCGAAGGCGGGAUCCUGGGCCAGUACUGACGCUGAGGAGCGAAAGCGUGGGGAGCAAACAGG